rnacentral:rRNA from 1 species
UACGUAGGGUGCGAGCGUUGUCCGGAAUUAUUGGGCGUAAAGAGCUCGUAGGCGGCUUGUCGCGUCGGAUGUGAAAGCCCGGGGCUUAACUCCGGGUCUGCAUUCGAUACGGGCAGGCUAGAGUUCGGUAGGGGAGAUCGGAAUUCCUGGUGUAGCGGUGAAAUGCGCAGAUAUCAGGAAGAACACCCGUGGCGAAGGCGGCUCUCUGGAACGCAACUGACGCUGAGACGCGAAAGCGUGGGGGGCAAACAGG